GCGGGUGUAGCUCAAUGGUAGAGCAGCAGCUUCCCAAGCUGAUGACGAGGGUUCGAUUCCCUUCACCCGCU
rnacentral:tRNA from 1 species